CAAACAGCCCAGCUGUCCGCAGAUGCUCAGCCAGGGCCGGCACCUAUGACCGACCCACUUGGGUCCUGCCUGUGGCUUUGAAAAGCGAGACCCCAGGAGACCAGGAAGGGGGAGCAUGGGGGCGUGUGACAGGUGACAGUAACCCCACCAUGCCUGCCACCAGAGGCUACAGACUUGGGGCCACCCUCCUCAUCCUCUCUUUAGAUGUCACUUACCAAAACACACGUGAGGGGGUAGGUAUGAACAUAUGAGUCCAGAUGACCCCAGAGGCCAGAGGCAUCAAAUCUCCUAUCGCUGGAGUUCUGGGGGUUGUGAGCUGCCCAGCAUGCCUGCUGGGAAUCGAACUUGGGUCCUCUGCAAGAGCAUCAGCCGAAACUUCCCAGGAGCCAAGGCCGAGCUUGAAAACUCCAUUAUCCAUGUUUAUCAGCUUCAUGUGUGUAGGGAUUACAGGUGAGGCACUGUGCGCAAGGAGUUCAAGAUCAUCCUCAGCUACUAAAGAUAUUCGAGGGCUGGAGAGAUGGAGAUGGCUCAGCGGUUAAGAACAUUGACUGCUCUCCCUGAGGUCCUGAGUUCAAAUCCCAGCAACCACAUGGUGGCUCACAACCAUCUGUAAUGCAAUCCGAUGCCCUCUUCUGGUGUGUCUGAAGACAGCUACAGUGUACUCACAUAAAAUAAAUAAAUCUUAAUAAAAAUAAUAAAAAUAACAAAAUAAUAAAAAUAAAAAACAACAAAAAAGAUAAAAUAAAAUAAAAUGGGGAGAGGCUAGAUGGCUCAGUGGUUAAGAGCUCUUGCCGUUGCUGUUCUUUGAGAGGACCUGAGUUUGGUUCCCAAUAUCCAAGUCAGGAGAUUCCCAGUCAUCAAUGACUCCAAUUCCAGGAGGAUCUGGUGACCUCUUCUUGACUCUCUGGGCACUUGCACAUACACACACACACACACACACACACACAUGCACAUGCACACGCACACACAAUCUUACAAAACAAGCCCAGUGAGGUGAUAGAUACCUUUAGUCCCAGCACUCUGAUCUCUUGUGAGUU